GGCUGCUCCCACAGUAUAUGAAGGUUCCCAGGCUAGGGUGCAAUCGGAGCUACAGCUGCCAGUCUACACCACAGCCAUAGCAACACCAGAUCCGAUCAAGUUCUUAUUAUACAUUUUGUUUUUUGUAGGACAUCAUUCUAUUCUAAUUUAAUCUAUUGACUUGAUAAGACCCACCUCAAGUUUAUUUUUACCCUGUGCCUCCCUCUAAACUCUAGUAAUACAAGUUCAUGUUUCAAAGAAACAAUGGAAUACACUAUACAGGCAUCAAGCUUUGAAAUGAGUGAGGGAGUUCUGAGUUACCAUCUCUAGUAGAAUAUCUAUUAAUUGCAUUUUCCUGGCCAGGUGAAUUUUAGGGUUUCAUUUGAAAAAUCUUCUAACUUUAAAAUCUUAAUAAUAUAUACACAUUAUUAUCACUUAUACAAUAUACAAAAAUGUAAUGGAGUCAUACUUCAAAGAAUUACCUCAGCAAGACUGCACCAUCUUCAGAAAAAAAAAAUCUGCACUAACAUAGCAUGGGACAUAGCAAUGAUUCAUGUAUUCAUAAACAUUAAUUAUCUAGCACAUCAAGAGGGAAAUUGUAUUUAUUUUUUGUUUGCUUGAUUGAAUUCAUUCAUUAGCCAGAUUUUCCCCAAACACAAAAUACUUUUUGAGAAUAAAUUAAAAGCUGUGGUACCUGGUCUGAGUGUAUUUUAAUUCAGUAAUAAGAAACUCUGGGUUGUGGGUCUCAUUAGCAACGCUUUUUUUGAAGUUCAUCUCAGCAAUAUCAUGUGACUACUUUUAAUUUUUUUCCUCCCCUCUAACCAGGAUUUACUCCAGAAAAUUUUAAAAUCUAAUUAGUUAUUGUAGAUUUAGGAAAGAGCAGCAGCACACAGCCAGGCUCUCUGUGGUAAGCACGAACAAAAUUAUGCUUUCAAAAACGGAUGUUCAGACAGGUCUUGAGUUUAAGACAAUUCACAUAUAGUUUUGGGAGCUGAAGUGUUUUGUAGGUACUGCCCCCCCUCUUCUCUAAGGAAUACCUGCACAUUGUGGAUGAUUAGAAAAUAGCCAUGAGAAAAUUAAAAUUACUUGUAACCAUAAUACCUAAAGAUAAUCACAAGUAACAUCUGGGGAAUUUACUCCUGCUCUUUAUUUAUAUAAACACACACAUUCACAAAGAGAAAACAAGACUCAAACUGUUGAUAAAGUGGGCUUUUCAUUUUCUUUCAUUUUAUUAUUAUUUUUUCCUGUGUCUUAGAAUAUUAAUGAUUAUCUAAUUUCUUGUCCUAUGACCUUUGGAGAUGAGAUAAAGUAGCCAAUUUUGACUUCAGUAUUAAUCAAAGGACAUUUAACCCUACUGCACAGAGCAGGUUAAGUGUGGGGGCCGUCUCAACCAAACUUGCUGUUCUUAAUCAUAAGCAGGCAUUGCUGAACCAUCACAUGGAGGAAAGCCAAUGGCUGAUUAGGAAAACCUGCCUUGGACACAAGCUUCUAAUUGGUUUGAGGCACGAGACACAUUUGGGCAUUUUUUUUUUCUUUAUUUAGGCCACCCCUGCAGCAUAUGGAGGUUCCCAGGUUAGGGGUCAAAUUGGAGCUGUAGCUGUGGGCCUACACCACAGCCACAGCAACGCAGGAUCUGAGCUGUGUCUGUGACCUACACCACAGCUCAUGGUAAAGCCAGAUCAUUAACCCACUGAUCGAGGCCAGGGAUUGAACCUUCAUCCUCUCCUCAAGGAUACUAGUCAGAUUUGUCUCCAUUGAGCCAUGAUGGGAACUCCUCCCCUCUUUUUGUGUGUGUGUGUGUGUGUGUGUGUGUGUGUGUGUGUGUGUCCUUUUAGGGCUGCACCCACCACAUAUGGAGGUUCCCAGGCUAGGGGUUGAAUUUGAACUGUAGCUCCUGGCCUAUGCCACAGCCACAGCAAUGUAGGAUCCAAGCCACGUCUGUGACCUACACCACAGCUCAUGGCAACACAGGAUCCUUAACACACUGAGCAAGGCCAGGGACUGAACCCGCAUCCUCAUAGAUACUAUUUGGGUUUGUUAACCACUGAGCCACAACAGUAACUCCACCUUUGGGCAUAUUUGUUACAUCAAUUUACUCCACCCUAACUGAAAGGGUGUGGAAUCAGUGAGAGUCUGGUUUGUGAUUCGACAUAGGUUCGUCCUUUCUUUUAUUUUCAACCACAAUAAAAGCAGUGAUAAAAUAUAUUUAUAGAACUUUAUUUAAGUUUGGGCUUAUGAUAGCUUUCAUCAUCUGAAGGCAGGUUUUUCUAAUCACCAGUUGGCUUUUCUCCGUGUGGUGGUUCAGGGUCCCCUGCUUAUGAUUAACAAGACGGUCCCCACAUUUAACCCACUCUGUGCAGUAGGGUUAAAUGCCUUUUGAUUAAUGCUGAAGUCAAAACUGGCUACUUUAUCUCAUUCGUGUAUAAUCUUUCAUUUUCCCUUUAAAUUUUCAGAUUCUAGCAUUUAUCUGUUUAAUCUGUUCAGACAUCUAUUUGGUAUUAAAAAUAACUCCACCUUUCUGAGGGCUGGAAGAGAAAGUACUACAAUCACAUAAAUCAUCAGAGUCAAAUUUUUAAAGAAUACAAUAAAUCUGAAAAAGAAAUAACACAAGGCUCUGAAUAUUUUUUCCUUGAAUGCUAGAUUUGUCAACAUAACAUCCUAGUAGGAAAAAUAUUCUUUAGCUAGUCAUAGAUAUUCCACAAAAGUUAUGAGUAAAUGCUGUGAUACAAGAAAAUUACAGAUGUUUUUUAAGUCUUCUGUGAUUGGAUUAUUAAUCUGAUAAUGUGGGUAGACAGAUCACGAUGGAUCAGUCAGGUGGCCGACUGGCUGCUAGACCCAACAUUAGGACACAUUGAAUAGGAAUAUUCACACUCCAUAAAUACCCUGAAAAAGAAAAGCCAUGAGAAAACCCUUCUCUUUUGAUAUCUGCAUUCAGCUAUGUCCCUGUGAAAGAGAGCAGGAGAGUUCAGCUCAUCUGGAAACAGGUCCUGCUUCACAUCCUCAUAGAAGACCAAGGCAUUAUCCUUUCUUUCUUCUUUUUAUUGAAACAUUUUUAAAAUUGUGGGGAAUAUGUAGUAGCUUUUUUUUCCCCCCCAGGGCCAAUUCAGGAAUCUUGGCACCAAAACGUCAAAUCAGUUUUCAUUGAACAUUCAUCGAAACUAUUAAUGACUCAUUAUGCAGGGGAAAAAGACGUUAAUGAACAAGCAUAGUCAUUUGACCAAAAUAAAUUUCAGGGGUGAUGUAAAAUUUAAGUAGUCAGUGGUAGAAGGCUUUCUUAAGGAUAGAAUAAGCUAGUUGGUUUCGAAAGAAAAUCAUAAAUUUUUUAUGCUAGUAGCCCUGUAGAGUUAAAAUGAAAAUUAAUGCAUUAAUUCAGGAAUUAGCAACUGUUCAUAAGUACUAACAUAUUUCAAAGAAGAUCUGACAUAUACAUAAAAUCAUAUAAGGCAAAAAAUAUAUUAAUUAUAGAUUACUAGUAUUCACAAAUUAUUAUAUUGCUAGUAUAUAUGGAUGUGUGUAUUGAGUUUGUGGAAUAUAUAUGUAUAUAUACAUGAAAUACACAUAUACACAUAAAGCAUAUGUUUAUAGAUACAUACAGAACUAUAAAUAAAUAAAUUAUGGGCCACACAUUUAAUAUACGAAUAGGCCAAUAAACUCAAGUGCCAAUAUCUCCAGUUUCCUAUGCAUUCUCAACGGAGUGCUAUGCACAGCUUUUUUUUUUUUUUGUCUUUUUCCAGGGCCGCACCCACGGCAUAUGGANGUUCCCGUGGGGUGGAAUUGGAGCUACAGCCGCAGGCCUACGCGACAGCCACAACAACGGGGGAUCCGAGCCGCGUCUGCAACCUACACCACAGGUCACGGCCACACUGUAUCCUACUAAGAGAAGCCAGGGAUCGAACCCCCAACCUCAUGGUUCCUAGUCAGAUUCCUUAACCACUGAGCCACGACGGGAACUCCUAUGAACAAUUUUUUACAUAAAGAAAACUCCUUUCCACAACUGCUGGCAUGCUUAUCAGGAUUUUUGUUUGACUCCUGCCAAUUUGAAUCCCGAGACUCAAAUAAAUGCAGAGCCAUCUGCGCUGACAUGGCUGUUGCGACUCUUCAAGGCUCGUGGAGGCAUUUGUUUCCAUUACCCUCAGUACCAUGAUGCUUCACUUUGUAGUAUCCCUACUGAAUAAGCUGAGCUUAACUUGUAUCAUGGACAUCGUCAGGUUAAGAUCUUGGUAAAAACUCUAUGUGCCAGAAGAGCUUAACCUUUUCGGCUCCAAGUCUCCAAAAAUGUAUAUUGGUGGUUUGAACUUUCUAUGGCAUUCCUCACAAUUUUCGCCUUCAUUAACAAUGAUUUUUGCAUAUAGGGUUUUGGAAUAUCUUUCAUUACAUUAAACAUUAAGUAAUCUUAAUGCUUCAAUCGAGAGAAAAGUAGAGUGCAAAUUAUCCUAUUCAGAUGACAUUUUGUCAAGCCUUGCUAAUUCAUCUAAACUAAUGCUGCUGUGGAUAUGCCUAGGUGACUACUCUUUUUAAGGUAGCAUGGCUCAAAAUAGGCUGAGUUCAGGUGUGUAUUCAGAGUUGUCAUGCAGUGAUCAUGAAAAGACUAUCAGAGAGCAUGAAGUAAAAACAAUUUUGCUGGCAUAAUACAGAAGCUUCCGGGCUGCAGCAGAUCAUUUUCAUGAAAGAUUUUUUGCACAUCUGAUCUAAAUAAAUUAAUGGUAACUCAAGUUUCCAUAAAAUGUAAUAAUGGAGAGUACAAAUAAUUCUCUAGCAGCUCUUUCUGUUGUUAAUAUAAGUUUAGAGGUUUGACAGAAUGAUAGAAUAUAAAAAGUGUAAAAAAUACUCAAAUAGGCCAAGAUUUAGGUAAUUUAAGCAUUGAUAAGAAUCUGAACAUUAUAUGAAGGUGAAGUAUUUGAAAGUUAUGUUUUCCAUAAAGAUACCUUCAUUUGAAAUGGUGAAUCAAAUGAGAUGGGGUGUGCUAAAGCACCAUCAAAGAUAUAAGCCACUCAUUGUAAGGUAUUAUCACCCACAUUAAAAAGAAGAUGCAGAAGCCCAGCUAGGGUGAGAAAAGUCAGAUGAGAAGAAGAUGCUCAGGUAGCCAGAGAAUAUGCUGACUUAAGAGUCAAGAACUAAGACGUUGAGAUGGAAGCUUGAGAUACCAUGCAAAAGCCAGAGAGGUUAUGGUUUUCUUAAGCCAGGAGUCUGUAUGCCAAGAAGGUAAUUUUGAUGGGAAAAAAACCAAACCAGUGAUAAGAGGUAUCCUGAACCCAAAAAAGAGAAAAUUUAAAAAAAUGAUGCAGAUCUCGAAAGAUGGGAGGUGAUGCCUGACAUAUUUACUACCAUAGCCAUAAUGCCUGGAAUCAUUGGGUAGCUAAUAACUGAUGAAGGGAUGGAUAAGUCAGAAAUAGGUGAAGAAUCUACAUGCAAAUACAGAUAUACAUAAAGAGGUAGUGCAUAGCUAAAUCUCCACUAAAGGUAAAGUAGAAGUAAAAUUGUAUCUAAUUGUUUGUGUGAAAUCAGUAAACCAGGGACUAAGAAUGGAAUGAACUAGACUAGGAAGAGAGGGGACCACUGGUCCUAAGUCUCAGCAUUGAACGGGGAGGUUGGAGGGAGGUUGGAAAACUGGGGAGUGGAAAGAGACAUCCUGGGGAGGCAAUGGGAGGCAAAAUAGAAAAAAAAAUGGAAAGGGAAGGCUCAGAAAGCCAAAAGUCAAUGAACCAAAGGAAAAAUCAGAAUCUCAAGUUUUGGGGUCUUAGAUAAAACUCUUCUUUUAAGGGAAAUGAGUAUCAGCUAUUGAUUGCUCAGAGGUAAAGAGCACUACCUCCCGUAGGCUUGUGAAGACAGCCGAGUGCCUAGCAGUGAGGAGCAUGCACACAGUAGAAAUAGCAUACUCUUUUUUUCUAGUCCUUGUCCAGUUUCAGUGCCUGGAAAGAUGAAUGUGACAGUGUGGCAUGAAGCAGUCUUGAGACAGGAGAGCCAGAUCAAUGCAUUUUAUCCACAGAAAGAUUUUGCAUCCAACAGAGAUUUGAUCCUUGUUUGAUCCCUGGAUCAGGAUCAUCGGCACAUCUGAUCACUGGUUGGAAACACGCCCAUUGGUCUCACCCAGUCUCACUGAAUCAGAAAACGGGUGCAUCCAAGGUACACUAUGUAAGGUUCUGCAAUAUGAUGAGACAUAGCUUUGAAAAUAACUACCAAAUUGGUCAUCUGCUCUUGCAUUUAGCCUCUAAAGAGAUACAUAUGCCUGGUUGCAAAGAGGUUUGUUUUGUUUCAAGGAAUCUUACAUGUUAGCAAUUUCAAUAGUUAUGUUGUACACUUGUUAAUAUAAAAAGAUUUCUAAUGAGAAUUGCUUACAUUGUUACAGUUCAUAAAGAACAAGAUAGGUUAAAGAGAAGUAUUUUUGAGUUUUUAAAAAAAUAACUAAAAAUAAAGUACAUUUCGCUAAACCACAAGGUAAUAAGCACACAAGCC
rnacentral:lncRNA from 1 species